rnacentral:snRNA from 1 species
AGACACCACUGGCAGAGAGGAGACCAAGAUCACCCAGAUGGUUUUCCCAGGGAGAGAUCUGUCCAUUGCACUCCAGAUGUGCCGGCCACUGUGAUGUCCCCAGUAGUAAUGGGGUACUGCAUUUGUACUUCCCCUUA